CCUACGGGUGGCAGCAGUAGGGAAUAUUCGUCAAUGGGCGCAAGCCUGAACGAGCGAUGCCGCGUGAGUGAAGAAGGCCUUCGGGUCGUAAAGCUCUGUUGCGGGGGAAAAAAGGAAGCAUCAGGAAAUGGGUGCUGACUGAUGGUGCCCCGCCAGAAAGUCACGGCUAACUACGUGCCAGCAGCCGCGGUAAUGCGUAGGUGGCGGGCGUUAGCCGGAAUGAUUGGGCGUAAAGGGUGCGCAGGCGGUCCUGCAAGUCUGGAGUGAAACGGAUGGGCGCAACUCAUGCAUGGCUUUGGAAACUGGAGGACUGGAGUGCAGGAGAGGGCGGUGGAACUCCAGGUGUAGCGGUAAAAGGCGUAGAUAUAUGGAAGAACACCAGUGGCGAAGGCGGCCGCCUGGCCUGUUACUGACGCUGAGGCACGAAAGCGUGGGGAGCAAAUAGGAUUAGAUACCCGUGUAGUC
rnacentral:rRNA from 1 species